rnacentral:rRNA from 1 species
UACGUAGGUGGCAAGCGUUGUCCGGAUUUACUGGGCGUAAAGAGCGCGCAGGCGGUCGUUUAAGUCGAAUGUGAAAGCCCCCGGCUCAACUGGGGAGGGUCAUUCGAUACUGAUCGACUUGAAGGCAGGAGAGAGAAGUGGAAUUCCCGGUGUAGUGGUGAAAUGCGUAGAUAUCGGGAGGGACACCAGUGGCGAAGGCGACUUCUUGGCCUGUUCUUGACGCUGAGGCGCGAAAGCUGGGGGAGCAAACGGG